CUCCCUGAGACUGUUUGCGCGAAAGUGCUGAAGGAAUACCAGUUCAACACGACCAUCUUGGUCCUGUUCCAUCCCCAUGGACUGAAUUCCAUGUCAAUGUCGACUCCUUGACUGGUGACAAAGUAAAUACCUGAAAAGCCAUCAACUCCUGCAGGUUGGAAAUGUCGCAAGCUAGGGUCGAGAGGAAUCCAUUGGAAGAGGACGAAGAAGAAACUGCCGAAAACGUCCAACCACGCUCCACAAUGAAUUGCAGCCCACAAGCUGCAACAGUGUUCAUCAGAAUAACGGACUUCGGGAUGUCCUUUCGCCGAGGUUGGUGUGUGUACCGCAACCAGCAAGAUAUCACUCCCUGACACGUAAUGCGGUACUCGGGAGCAUUGGGACACCCUUGUCCAGCAAAUCGCAGCUUCCUUGGAUAUCCAAAUUAGUACCACCUCGCCUCGACGUCGGAAGGUAUCUCGAUUGUACAGCUGAUGUCAUGGAUCGUGUACAAGCUCAUCAGGGAUGCGUUCCAGCGGCAUAGGAGAUCAACAAAGGCUCGGGUUCACCGACUGACAACCAAGCCGGACAGAUCCACCCUAUCCACUAAUAGCAUAAUAGCAUGAAGAGCGCAUUCAAGCCAGG
rnacentral:sRNA from 1 species